rnacentral:lncRNA from 1 species
GAUAAGAUUUACUUUCAUUGCCGGAGACACAAUGGAUUCCAGAUCCUGAGCCGACUUGAAUCCACAACCCUAAAACAAAUAAAUGUGUAUUUUCCUUUUUCUUUUUUUUUUUCUCAAACUGCUAAAACAAAAUUUCAUUUUUUUUUGAAUCUCUUCCUGCAAUUUCCAUUCUCUAGUUACAAUUUCGAAAACCAGCGCCACGAAAUAGUUCAAUUUCCAUUUUUUAGUGGCCACAAAAUAGUUCAAUU